UACGUAGGGUGCGAGCGUUGUCCGGAAUUAUUGGGCGUAAAGAGCUCGUAGGCGGUGUGUCGCGUCGGUCGUGAAAACUUGGGGCUUAACCCUGAGCUUGCGGUCGAUACGGGCAUCACUGGAGUUCGGCAGGGGAGACUGGAAUUCCUGGUGUAGCGGUGAAAUGCGCAGAGAUCGGGAGGAACACCCGUAGCGAAGGCGGCGCUCUGGGCCGGUACUGACGCUGAGGAGCGAAAGCGUGGGGAGCAAACAGG
rnacentral:rRNA from 1 species